AGCCAGCCUGAUCUGAAGGACGUGACGGUCCACUCAUCUGAAUUAACAGAGGGAUCAGAGACUGAAGAUGACGAAUAUGAGAAGGAGCAUGAGGGACAUCAUUCUAAAUCCCAUGUGCAUCGAACGCUAAAUCCAGAGGAACGUCUCUUCCUGGUGGCGGAGUCAAGUCUGCGAGAGCUCCUGUCACAGUGUCCUUGUGGCAGCAGCGAUGCUGAAACAGACAUCACAACAAGGGGCACAUGGCUGAGAGCAGCAACAGCUUGCAGCUGUGGGAAACUGCGUACAUGGUCCAGCCAGCCUUGGG